rnacentral:rRNA from 1 species
AAGGAGGAGGGGUGAGGCAGGCGGCGGCCUGCGGACGGCGGAGGUGGCUCCGCUUCGAGGCAGGGCGGUGGCGGCGGCGGAGUGCGGCUCAUUCAUCGGUUCGAAUGUAGCCGUUCUACCACGUCAUAUUAAAGUUCUUCUAGUGACAACAGGGAGGACCCUUCCUGAAGUAGCUGUAUUAGAACAGGGCGUGAGUCUCCGUUUGUGGUUGACAACAGGUGUUCCCGAUACGAUAGUUGGCGUAAGCGGUCAAGAUAUACGCGUUCCAAGCGAUAUGGGUCGUCUUGAAGAUACUUUUCGACAGGUGGUAGUAGCUACUCAAGGGGUCUGACCUACUGUAGGUGGGAAAGAUACCGCUAGAGGAAGUACACGAGAUGUUGUUCCUAGUAAUGUUUGAGCGGAACCCAGUCUAGUUAUGUCGAUCUUUAUAGUAACGUUUCUAGAGGUUCCUGAUAGACUCCGACGAGUUCAUACCUCUGUGGGACAUGGCCACGUUCACGGACUUCCAUCGACGAGAGCCAGCGUACACAUGACAAGAUUUCGCAUAGUCAGGAUCAAACCGUAUGGACCUCGUCUAGUCCGUCGUGUACCGGUCCGAAGGUAGUUAACUGGGUUUGUGGGCAUGAUAGAACUAAACACCCAUAGGUUUACAACCCUUCUCGAGAAAGUACUUGUUCCAAUGUUCCCGACUACACCUGCAUGUCGGAAUACGAAAGUGUUGUUUUAGGGAAAAACAACCGGUACGUCUAAUGUUCAUAGACGCCAUGGUUCACUAACUGUGAGGACCCUAGGAACUAGCCGGAAAACUCCUGUCCUUGUAGUAUCUUUACACGUCAUAGUGGCGAGAGCGGGUGAACUCCCGACGACACGACAAGAAGAACCUGUAGAGACCAAGAACACCCAUGUGAUAACGAGUCGUUCGACGUGAGAAGGUGUCAUAUUUUAGGAACAAGUACUUAUUCGGAGACCAGUAACACACGUUGUUCUGACUAAACGUCGGCGAACUACCCGAAAGACUUCUACUGUACUUCGAUCAUUACCUCUACUUCAGUCUCCGAUACUUCUGAUAUGGAGUUCCACCUCUAGGAUCACUUCUCCCACAAAACAACUGAUACUCACGAAAUUGUCUACUCCCACACUACCGACAAUUUUUACGACGUACACUCUCCGAAGAACUCGUCUCCCACCUCUAGUUCUACUUUAGUUUCUUCUAGUUACUGACGAAUUUGUCCAAAGUACAACGAUACGGGUUCGGAGCACUGUUGUCUCUAUCCGGAUGAACGUAAGGAGUCCGACAAGAACUUCGAGUUCGCUAACGACGACGUUUCCUUUUCUUCUUUGAACUCUCCCUGGAACUCUUACUCUUACCUCCACGACCACAGAUAAGGCGGUCAGAGUUUUUCGUAAUGAACAACCGACUACUACUUACCUUCCUUCUAUAAGAGGGACUCUAUAACCUACCCGUAUUACAACGACUAAAGGACCUAGGCCUAUAGAACCUUUCCACACUCCUCGACCUUUCCCUCCUCCCAGAAGCAGAACUUCUUCUUCGACGAGUCCUACGAAAGUACUAACUACCGGUACUACUCAAUUGACUUCUUGUCGCACUCUAUAACCCAUUCUAAUCCUUCUUCUUCCGUUACGAGUAGGUUCUCGUAUCCUACUUUUUCUCAUGACGUCUCUCGGCAGGAUAACAAGGUUCCUUCGUACUGUUCCUAUCCUUUAAGUGUUGGUUCUCUGACCCGUCCGUUGAGUGUAGGUACCCACAACUAGGAUGACGGCGACACUUGGCUGAAGCGUCGGUCAGUUCUCCGGCAUUCGCACUCUCCAGUGACUCGUCUCGACUACCACUGCUGCGAUACCUGCAACUACCGGUCGUGAGGCUGUUCUUCGACGCAUGCUCCAGCUCCAGAUCCAGGUUUAGUGCUGGUUAACUUCUCCAACAUGGUCCACUGCCCUAGGCCCUGCAACGAGUUUUCUUCUUCCGGUAGUUCUUUAGCUCCCUGAGACAGUUCUUGUCCUUGUUCCUCCGAGCGGCACCUCUCCGCCUAGCGCAGUAGGGGUGGAACUUUGGCUUCGUAGAGAAGAGACCUUUUGCUCCUCAACCUUUCUGGGUCUCCGCUAUUUGGUCAGUUACACCUGUAACGACGAACGCUAGUGAGUAAGUCCUUGAUGUCCUAGUGACGGUAAAAGGCACGACCCGUAACGCCCUCCGAAGUCGUGGUUGGACCGUCCUCCUCUAUGAUAGAUGACGUAAAAAUGAACACAGACCGGAAACGAAAGACAAUGCUGCGAACCAGGAGGAAACAAUCUGAUAUAGCAACGACUUGAUGUACCAACAUGGAAGCCAAAUGAGACGUGAACACACCUCGCCUCAGUUUAAAACAAACUACCACAAUAAUUACAUAAACUUGCCCGGCGAACAAAAGGAAAAGCACUUUACAAAACUAUGACACUAUAACGUGGAGCCAGACCUUGGACACUCAAAGUCAUUAAAGUUG